rnacentral:rRNA from 1 species
GUGUCUGCGCAGCUUACACAUGCAAGUCGAGGGGUAUAGUUCUUUGGAACUAGAGACCGGCGCACGGGUGCGUAACGCGUAUGCAAUCUACCUUUCACAGAGGGAUAGCCCAGAGAAAUUUGGAUUAAUACCUCAUAGUAUAAUGAGUUGGCAUCAACACAUUAUUAAAGUCACAACGGUGAAAGAUGAGCAUGCGUCCCAUUAGCUAGAUGGUAAGGUAACGGCUUACCAUGGCUACGAUGGGUAGGGGUCCUGAGAGGGAGAUCCCCCACACUGGUACUGAGACACGGACCAGACUCCUACGGGAGGCAGCAGUGAGGAAUAUUGGACAAUGGGCGCAAGCCUGAUCCAGCCAUGCCGCGUGCAGGAUGACGGUCCUAUGGAUUGUAAACUGCUUUUGUACAGGAAGAAACACUGGUUCGUGAACCAGCUUGACGGUACUGUAAGAAUAAGGAUCGGCUAACUCCGUGCCAGCAGCCGCGGUAAUACGGAGGAUCCAAGCGUUAUCCGGAAUCAUUGGGUUUAAAGGGUCCGUAGGCGGUUUAGUAAGUCAGUGGUGAAAGCCCAUCGCUCAACGGUGGAACGGCCAUUGAUACUGCUAAACUUGAAUUAUUAGGAAGUAACUAGAAUAUGUAGUGUAGCGGUGAAAUGCUUAGAGAUUACAUGGAAUACCAAUUGCGAAGGCAGGUUACUACUAAUGGAUUGACGCUGAUGGACGAAAGCGUGGGUAGCGAACAGGAUUAGAUACCCUGGUAGUCCACGCCGUAAACGAUGGAUACUAGCUGUUGGAAGCAAUUUCAGUGGCUAAGCGAAAGUGAUAAGUAUCCCACCUGGGGAGUACGUUCGCAAGAAUGAAACUCAAAGGAAUUGACGGGGGCCCGCACAAGCGGUGGAGCAUGUGGUUUAAUUCGAUGAUACGCGAGGAACCUUACCAAGGCUUAAAUGUAGAUUGACCGGUUUGGAAACAGAUCUUUCGCAAGACAAUUUACAAGGUGCUGCAUGGUUGUCGUCAGCUCGUGCCGUGAGGUGUCAGGUUAAGUCCUAAUAACGAGCGCAACCCCUGUUGUUAGUUGCCAGCGAGUCAUGUCGGGACUCUACGAGACUGCAGUGCAAACUGAGAGGAAGGUGGGGAUGACGUCAAAUCAUCACGGCCCUUACGCCUUGGGCUAACACGUGCUAACAUGGCCGGUACAGAAAGCAGCACUGGGUGACAGGAAGC